rnacentral:snRNA from 1 species
AUCGCUUCUCGGCCUUUUGGCUAAGAUCAAGUGUAGUAUAUAUAUAUAUAUAUAUAUACACACACACACACACACAUAUAUAAUAUACACAUGUACAUACUAAUAUAUAUGUAUCCACAUUUCACCUUGAUGUGUGGAAGAUUC